CCUACGGGGUGCUGCAGUGGGGAAUAUUGCACAAUGGGCGCAAGCCUGAUGCAGCCAUGCCGCGUGUGUGAAGAAGGCCUUCGGGUUGUAAAGCACUUUCAGCGGGGAGGAAGGCGUUAAGGUUAAUAACCUUGGCGAUCGACGUUACCCGCAGAAGAAGCACCGGCAACUCCGUGCCAGCAGCCGCGGUAAUACGGAGGGUGCAAGCGUUAAUCGGAAUUACUGGGCGUAAAGCGCACGCAGGCGGUCUGUCAAGUCGGAUGUGAAAUCCCCGGGCUCAACCUGGGAACUGUAUUCGAAACUGGCAGGCUAGAGUCUUGUAGAGGGGGGUAGAAUUCCAGGUGUAGCGGUGAAAUGCGUAGAGAUCUGGAGGAAUACCGGUGGCGAAGGCGGCCCCCUGGACAAAGACUGACGCUCAGGUGCGAAAGCGUGGGGAGCAAACAGGAUUAGAUACCCGGGUAGUC
rnacentral:rRNA from 1 species